CAGUAGCCGCGGUAAGACAGAGGAUGCAAGCGUUAUCCGGAAUGGUUGGGCGUAAAGCGUCUGUAGGUGGCUUUUCAAGUCCGCCGUCAAGUCCCAGGGCUCAACCCUGGACAGGCGGUGGAAACUACCAAGCUGGGGUACGGUAGGGGCAGAGGGAAUUUCCGGUGGAGCAGUGAAAUGCGUUGAGAUCGGAAAGAACACCAACGGCGAAAGCACUCUGCCGGGCCGACACUGACACUGAGAGACGAAAGCUAGGGGAGCAAAUGGGAUUAGAUACCCCCGUAGUCCCUGUCUCUUAUAC
rnacentral:rRNA from 1 species